UCGUGGUCAUCAUAUGUAAAGCAGUGCAUCCAGCUUAAGUAACCUUUAUUUUUAUACGGCAAGGCCACGUAAUUUAAAGGCUUGAGAAAGUACUCCAAUGGCACAACAAAAACAUCGCUCACUUCAUCUGGAUUAGGAGAGGCCUGGAACGUAUCCUCUAUAAAUCCUACAACUGGUGUUACCAAAUGAUUCAUUUUAUCAAUUCCAGGCACAAGCCUACAGAUGACUUCCACCUUCUCUGGCUGCAGUCCCACUUCUUCUUUGGCUUCUCGGAGAGCAGUAUCAAUUUCAUCUUUGUCCAUUUCUUCCCUUUUACCUCCCGGAAAACACACCUCCCCAGGUGAUCUUCUCAGCUGCAUGGAGCGGACGGUGAGCAGCAGGCACAGCGCCCCGUCCCGCAGCAGCAGCGGCAGCAGCACCGAGGCCUUGCGCAGAGGCAGAUGGGAGAACUUGUCCCCAACAUCGCACUCCCUCAAGCGGAGUUUCGCUUUCCCUUUUAUACUCUCUCUUUCCCACCCGUUCUGCCGCUCCGCUCCCGCCAUCUUUACCACCCACGACGCGAGCGCGGCCUUUCCCCUUGCCUCUCACCACGCUCCCUUGCAGACUGACGACCGCUUCCUCCAAUCAGCACGCGAGCUCACCGGGAUCCGCAUUCUGAUUGGC
rnacentral:lncRNA from 1 species